CUCUUCAUCAUGCAGCCAAACCAAAACACCUAGAUACUUGCCUCCAGUCCCAGCUAGUUAUCGUUCUAAUUAGAUCACCUGGUAGAUAUCAUAGGGGCGGUGAGGGGUGUGCCGCCCCGCUAGUUUCCCUGGUAACCAACAAGAAGACCGGAAGUCAGUUCCCCCAGGAACUGGUAACCUCCCCCUCUCCCAUCACGAAGGCUGCCGCCAUCCUCUGCUGCCUCUGCCGCCUGCCAUCUGCACCGCAGGUGGAGGGAUGUCGCUCCAGGACCUUGCUUCAGAUACGUAAGCGCCCCCAUCCAUUAGAUCCUCAGGCCACGGACCAGUACUGGUCCAGGACCUGGUAGGAACUGGGGCACUGCACAGGAGGUAUAUUUCUAGGAGCAGACUUGCUGAGUCAUAUGGAGUCCUUUCUGCAAUAGCCCUCUAAGAUGGCCAUCCAGCCUCAAGCAAAAGACUUUGGCUCAAGUUUGGUUUCCAGAUAAAGGAGUUUAUUUUACUCCUGCUUGCCUUGAGGCCAGCUGCUUCACAAUGCUUAUUAAUGAGCAUAAUGACAGAGGAACAGAGAAAAAGAAUAGGCCAAACGUGAGAAAAAACAGAGUUCAUCAGAACCAGAAUUUCAUGGAUUCUUUAUUGUGGAGGAGAAGGCUGAGAAAAAUCCAAGUGAGGCCAUUUAAAGCUGAUUUUGAGGACCCAAGAUAUGUUGAAGGGAGAAGCCAGGAAAGGAUGCCACUGGAUACCAACCUGGGGCUGCCUGUUCGGAAUCAGAGGAGGCUUGAUGGUCCAAAUGAAGGGAGAGUAAGGCAAUUGUCUGGACUCUGCAUGUGUAUAUAAUCAGCAAAUAAAAGAUUUUCUCUCAA
ensembl:lncRNA